rnacentral:rRNA from 1 species
CCUACGGGAGGCAGCAGUGGGGAAUAUUGGACAAUGGGGGCAACCCUGAUCCAGCCAUGCCGCGUGUGUGAAGAAGGCCCUCGGGUUGUAAAGCACUUUCAGUGAGGAAGAACGCCUGGUGGUUAAUACCCAUCAGGAAAGACAUCACUCACAGAAGAAGCACCGGCUAACUCCGUGCCAGCAGCCGCGGUAAUAUGGAGGGUGCGAGCGUUAAUCGGAAUUACUGGGCGUAAAGCGCGCGUAGGUGGCUUGAUAAGCCGGUUGUGAAAGCCCCGGGCUCAACCUGGGAACGGCAUCCGGAACUGUCAAGCUAGAGUGCAGGAGAGGAAGGUAGAAUUCCCGGUGUAGCGGUGAAAUGCGUAGAGAUCGGGAGGAAUACCAGUGGCGAAGGCGGCCUUCUGGACUGACACUGACACUGAGGUGCGAAAGCGUGGGUAGCAAACAGGAUUAGAUACCCUGGUAGUC